rnacentral:rRNA from 1 species
GAUGAACGCUGGCGGCGUGCCUAAUACAUGCAAGUCGAGCGAACGGACGAGAAGCUUGCUUUUCUGAUGUUAGCGGCGGACGGGUGAGUAACACGUGGAUAACCUACCUAUAAGACUGGGAUAACUUCGGGAAACCGGAGCUAAUACCGGAUAAUAUUUUGAACCGCAUGGUUCAAAAGUGAAAGACGGUCUUGCUGUCACUUAUAGAUGGAUCCGCGCUGCAUUAGCUAGUUGGUAAGGUAACGGCUUACCAAGGCAACGAUGCAUAGCCGACCUGAGAGGGUGAACGGCCACACUGGAACUGAGACACGGUCCAGACUCCUACGGGAGGCAGCAGUAGGGAAUCUUCCGCAAAGGGCGAAAGCCUGACGGAGCAACGCCGCGUGAGUGAUGAAGGUCUUCGGAUCGUAAAACUCUGUUAUUAGGGAAGAACAUAUGUGUAAGUAACUGUGCACAUCUUGACGGUACCUAAUCAGAAAGCCACGGCUAACUACGUG